CAACUCUACGAGUAGAGCGGCGCACGGGUGAGUAACACGUAGGUAACCUGCCUUCGAGACUGGGAUAACCUGUCGAAAGACGGGCUAAUACCGGAUAAGACCACUGGGGUUGCGGCUCCGGGGGUAAAAUGGUGGCCUCUGCUUGCAAGCUACCACUCGAAGAUGGGCCUGCGCGCCAUUAGCUUGUUGGCGGGGUAACGGCCCACCAAGGCAAAGAUGGCUAGCUGGUCUGAGAGGAUGGCCAGCCACACUGGGACUGAGACACGGCCCAGACUCCUACGGGAGGCAGCAGUGGGGAAUAUUGCGCAAUGGGCGAAAGCCUGACGCAGCGACGCCGCGUGGGUGAUGAAGGCCUUCGGGUCGUAAAGCCCUGUCGGGGGGGACGAAACCUCGGCGACCGAAUACGUCGUCGACCUGACGGUACCUCCUAAGGAAGCACCGGCUAACUCCGUGCCAGCAGCCGCGGUAAUACGGAGGGUGCAAGCGUUGUUCGGAAUCACUGGGCGUAAAGCGCGUGUAGGCGGUCGCUUAAGUCUGAUGUGAAAGCCCGGGGCUUACCCCCGGAAGGGCAUUGGAGACUGGGCAACUAGAGUACCGGAGAGGAGGGUGGAAUUCCUGGUGUAGCGGUGAAAUGCGUAGAUAUCAGGAGGAACACCGGUGGCGAAGGCGGCCCUCUGGACGGAUACUGACGCUGAGACGCGAAAGCGUGGGGAG
rnacentral:rRNA from 1 species